UUGGACUUGAGAUUUGGUAUG
rnacentral:miRNA from 2 species